GAUGAACGCUGGCGGCGUGCCUAAUACAUGCAAGUCGAGCGAACGGACGAGAAGCUUGCUUCUCUGAUGUUAGCGGCGGACGGGUGAGUAACACGUGGAUAACCUACCUAUAAGACUGGGAUAACUUCGGGAAACCGGAGCUAAUACCGGAUAAUAUUUUGAACCGCAUGGUUCAAAAGUGAAAGACGGUCUUGCUGUCACUUAUAGAUGGAUCCGCGCUGCAUUAGCUAGUUGGUAAGGUAACGGCUUACCAAGGCAACGAUGCAUAGCCGACCUGAGAGGGUGAUUGGCCACACUGGAACUUAGACACGGUCCAGACUCCUACGGGAGGCUGCAGUAGGGAAUCUUCCGCAAUGGGCGAAAGCCUGACGGAGCAACGCCGCGUGAGUGAUGAAGGUCUUCGGAUCGUAAAACUCUGUUAUUAGGGAAGAACAUAUGUGUAAGUAACUGUGCACAUCUUGACGGUACCUAAUCAGAAAGCCACGGCUAACUACGUG
rnacentral:rRNA from 1 species